rnacentral:lncRNA from 1 species
UGAAAUGGUUGAGUGGGCUAUUUAUAGAAUUCUGAGUCUGCCUUCACUCGCCUCGCGAGCUGCUUCAUUCGCCAUGUAAGCUCGCCUUCUACUAGCCAUUGCGAGUUGGUGGCGUGUGAUCUUUGUUGCAUUCUGGAAUUGCUCGCCUUUGCUGCUUGCCAUGGCGAGUUGGAGGCGAGUGAUCUCCUUUUUCUGCCUUUUUGUACUUUUCUCGAUUUUCUUCUCUUUGCUUGAUGUCUUGAGUUCGAAUCCUGCACAAAUGGGUGAAGUAAGAUAG